AACGAACGCUGGCGGCAUGCCUAACACAUGCAAGUCGAACGAGACCUUCGGGUCUAGUGGCGCACGGGUGCGUAACGCGUGGGAACCUGCCCUCAGGUUCGGAAUAACUCAGAGAAAUUUGAGCUAAUACCGGAUAAUGUCUUCGGACCAAAGAUUUAUCGCCUUUGGAUGGGCCCGCGUAGGAUUAGCUUGUUGGUGGGGUAAUGGCCUACCAAGGCGACGAUCCUUAGCUGGUCUGAGAGGAUGAUCAGCCACACUGGGACUGAGACACGGCCCAGACUCCUACGGGAGGCAGCAGUGGGGAAUAUUGGACAAUGGGCGAAAGCCUGAUCCAGCAAUGCCGCGUGAGUGAUGAAGGCCUUAGGGUUGUAAAGCUCUUUUACCAGGGAUGAUAAUGACAGUACCUGGAGAAUAAGCUCCGGCUAACUCCGUG
rnacentral:rRNA from 1 species